UCAGCGGGUAUUCCUACCGCAGCGAGGUCACAAUUGGUACUCGUCUCCCCGAAAGGAGCACUUUUCUCGGGAUCACUCGCUUUUUGUGUGGUUUCGACUCCUGUCUAGCCAUAAGUCACAAUCAGACGGGCGCGCUUCAUUACGGACAGGCGCAGGCCAUAUCCAACACCAGUCUAAGACUGAAUUUGUUAACGACGCUCGCUGCGGCAUGCCCGUCGGAAUACCGACGGGCGCAAUGUGCGUUCAAAGAUUCGAUGAUUCACUAAAUUCUGCAAUUCACAUUACAUAUCGCGUUUCGCUGCGUUCUUCAUCGAUGCGGGAACCA
rnacentral:misc_RNA from 1 species